rnacentral:rRNA from 1 species
GAUGAACGCUGGCGGCGUGCCUAAUACAUGCAAGUCGAGCGAACGGACGAGAAGCUUGCUUCUCUGAUGUUAGCGGCGGACGGGUGAGUAACACGUGGAUAACCUACCUAUAAGACUGGGAUAACUUCGGGAAACCGGAUCUAAUACCGGAUAAUAUUUUGAACCGCAUGGUUCAAAAGUGAAAGACGGUCUUGCUGUCACUUAUAGAUGGAUCCGCGCUGCAUUAGCUAGUUGGUAAGGUAACGGCUUACCAAGGAAACGAUGCAUAGCCGACCUGAGAGGGUGAUCGGCCACACUGGAACUGAGACACGGUCCAGACUCCUACGGGAGGCAGCAGUAGGGAAUCUUCCGCAAUGGGCGAAAGCCUGAAGGAGCAACGCCGCGUGAGUGAUGAAGGUCUUCGGAUCGUAAAAAUCUGUUAUUAGGGAAGAACAUAUGUGUAAGUAACUGUGCACAUGUUGACGGUACCUAAUCAGAAAGCCACGGCUAACUACGUG